CACCCGCCUUCGUCUCCCAAAGUGCCGGGAUUACAGGGUGAUCCUAUUUCACACAUUUCUGUCACCAGAUAAUGUCUUUCUCUCUUGAAUUCUGAACUUACAUAGUUAACAUUUACCUGAUCAUCUGUACCCAGUUAUGUCCUAAGUCCAACAUUUAACUCAUUAACAUCUUAUAAUGUUAAUAAUUUCCAAAAUAAUUUCCCCUCUUUGAUUCCCUGUUUUGAUGACUUCUAUUUCUACCUACCCAACCUCCCAAGUCAGAUGCCUGAGAGUCAUCCUAAACUGCUUUCUUUCCUUGACUCUCCACAACCAAUCCCCGAACACUUCCCUUCUCUUUCCUAAAUAUUUUUCAUGUUCUUAUCCAAAUUGGAAGGCUUAUGAAAAAGGGUCACUAUUAGUAAUAAUACAAAGAUAACCAGUGUAAACCAGGACGCAAGACGAUUCUGGGCAAACAACAAUGUAUAAUUAGCCUACAGUUGAGAAACAGAAGUAAUUCAUUCCAGGGUGGUUUGAGAAAGCACAUUGCUCUUGAAGAAUUGAGAGAAUCACAGCCGGCUUAGUAGUCUAGGGUGUCUGAUGGAGACCUACAUAGUGAGAGACGAAGCUGGAAAGGUCAUUGCAAUACCAGAUUCUGCAGGUGUGAAAUGUUUCUCACCUUGAAAUUAUCCAUGAGUGAUAGACAGUACUGGUUGGCUGCUUAGAAUUCAUUUUCUUUCCUUUCUAGCAAAGCCAUCGCCCAUGUAACCACAUGUUUCAGGAGAAGCUGACCCUACAGCCAGCUCCACUGGUAAGUCUAAUUGGUCCAAGGGUCAUCUUUAUCCCUGUACCAGAGAUUGGCUCAUGGGGCUAAUGACCCAACUCCAGCCAAUGACACAUCAGGGGAAUCUGCUGGAGGAUUUCCAAAAAGAGUUUCCUCAUUCCAAACAGAAGACCAUAAGAAAAGAUUGUCAUGCCUAUAAUUGCUGCAGCUAUUUUAAUUCCAGGUAUGAGGCUGAAACAGUCUUUGAUGGCCAAGUGAAGAGAUGGAAAAAGCAGGAUCCAGGAUGACUUUGUGAGUUGCUAGGUUACCAACCCCUGCUCUGUUUCUGGACUUCAAAUAUGAAACGACACUUCCUUUCUUACUUAAGUCCUUAAGUCGGGGUUUUCUGUUAAUUAUAGCCAAUAACACUCAGAUAUGCCAUGAAAUUUAAGAAUGUGAAAUAAUGGCCUUGACUUUCACAGAACUGGAAGGAAUGUGACUGUCAUGUCACUAACUGUCACUAUCACUUGUUGGACAAUUAAGGCUGCUAUUUAUCUUACCUUGUGUUGUUGCUUAUCUUUCUAUGGGAUUAUGUUGAAUAUGCAUCCAAUCUGGAACUUUAAAAAGUCAAAGUCAGUGAUAGAUCUUUUACUUCUUUGUAGGCCUAUAAUCCAUUACAUAACACACACAUUUUCUGUCAAUCAUUAACUCCCUUCUUAUUCUACCCACAUAGAUUUUUUUGGAAGGUGACCAAAAUGCUAUCUCUAUUUGGAGAUAAUAAUUAGUCUCAUCUUCAUUGGUUUCCUCUUGAAUGUGGAGGGAAUUAUCGGAUGAGUAAAUUGGAACAUGGUGGCCAUGUGGCCUGCUGCCCCCGUGUACCACUUGGAGACCAGCCUGGCAUGGAAAUGACCAGAUGUUGGAAGCUGAGCUGUUGGUGAGUGAAAUGAAUAAGUUAGCUGUUCCACUUCCCAUCUGCAUGGACAGCUUCUGCAUUGCAAAACUGCCAGUGCUUGUCAUUUCACAUGGCAGCAGUUAAUCUCUUAACCCCUUCCUAAACUUGGCAUUGGAAAGCCCUCGAUGGCCAAUUAGGCUGUGUGGGUAUAUGUACACUAGUGCCCAUCUGCCACAGGAAUAGAAGCAGUGGCACAAUUCAGAUCACUACCAAGAUACACAGAUGCUCCUGGAUCUGAGGAAGUGACCUAUAGAAAAUGAAGAAUGACCAGAUAAAGGCAAUAAGAAUGGAAGUAGAGGGGCUUAUUAAGCAGCUCUGGAUAAGCAGAGAAAGGAUGAUGGUUCCACAUGUAGAGUGUGCCAAAAAUGGGCUUGUUGCACAGGUUAUUUGAACACAGAAGCAGAGCUUUCUUUCUCUCUCCAUUCAUUAUUUUUCUGAGUAGACUAAUAAUAUAUGCUUUUUGUGAAACAUUUGAAAAAUGGAAGAAAGUAUAAGAAAAAAAUAAAAAUCACCUAUAUACUUAUCUCCUAAUAUUUCAGUAUAUCUGUUCAGGCCUUUUUUUCUAGUUUUGUGAUCACAUUUUUUCAGUCAACAAAUAUUUUUAUUUCCACAAAUAUUUAAUGCAUUUUGUAUGUGUCAGACACCAUGCCAGGAACUACGAAUAUACUCGUGUUCAAUAAUUUGCAUAAUUCCUUAUCUCCUAGAACUUUGAGUCUAGCAGAAGUGACAUAGAAACACACAACUGCAUUAAGAAUUAUUUAAUCUCAAAUUUGACAAGCUCAGCAAAGAACAAGUAUGAAGUUUUCUGGAAGAAUGGGACAUCCUAACCUAGCCUGGAUGUAGGGAGUGCACCUAAAAGGAAAACUCUGAAGUUAGUUCGCUGGGAAGCUUGCUGCCAUGUUUUGAGCUGCCCUAUGGAGAAACCAACAUGACUAGGAAUAUGAGAGAGCCAGCGGGACAAUGAGGCCCUCAGUACAGCAAGAAACCAAAUUCUGCCAACAACCAUAAAGCAACUGUUCAUCAGAAAGGUGGAGUAACUUGACCAAGGUAACGCAGCUAAAGUUCUCAGAUUCUAAAGACCAGGACUCCUCAUGAAUCUGUCAGCCCCCCUCAUUCCAGCUCUGGGUCUCUGUGUCGCUGCCACUGCCACCUCGUCAUUAUCCUGCUUCAUGCCUAUCACUGGACUAAACACCUUACAGUCUUUAUCACAUUUAAUUUUUUCAACUAUACCAAGAGACACUCGCAUCUCUACCCCAGCAGCAGCAUCUUAGAGGCAGUGAGAACUCUGUCUUAGAAGACGGCCUUCAGCCCUGGGUUGAAAAGAGGAGUCUAGAACACCUUUCAAAUGGAACAUUGGGACUGCAGGUUGUACAGCUCACUAUCCGCCUAGGCUGAUGUCCUUGGGUGUUCCUUGACCACAGAGGAGAGGACAGGAGUGGCUCCUCUUUAGGAAGCAGGGGUAAGUUUCCAGAGGAUUCCUUCCAACAUGCUGUUUCCCAUAAGUUCACUUUCACACGCUCCCUUAUUUCCUAAACUGAAACUGUGACAUUGUGCCAACUCGGCUGUAGGCAGCACAAAGCGAACAACAAAGCACAACCAACGGGACAGAUGAUGAGAGCUGGGGAUCCCUAACACUGGGGACUUAGUGGUGAAAAUCCUGGAUCUUUUUCCACUGGACUAAGCUUGAGGUAUAUGUCUGCGUGUCCAAGAGGCUUAUCGAAAAUGGUGACUGGAAGAUCCUUCCUUUCUAGGCACUUAAAAUGUCUGAAUUUUGCUUCCUUAUCAGCAAAACAAGCACAGGUAAAUGGAAAGUAAAUGUUAAGCUGCAUAAAGAACCAACAGAAUUAAAUAUAGAUGAGUGACCUAAUUCUAGCAUCCUCACCCCUGACUUUCUGCUUCAUUUCUUUUAAGUUUUCUUAUGGGGCUACCACUUUAUCUGCACAAGAAAGACUUUGGUUAAUGACUUUGGACUCCUUUGGGUCUUCUGACCUUGGAGCAGCCAGGAAAUAGAUUUGUGUUCACAAAAGAGAGGAUCAAGAAGAAAUAAAAGCAGGAAACUGGGAAUUGGAGUGUCCAUUGAGAAACAUACCCUCUGUCAUUUUUGGAAGGCUCGUUGUUUAAGUUUGGAAGUCUAAGGCCAUCGGUGGAUUAUAUUACGUUUGCUGCAUGGCUUUGGGAUGAUAAGUGGAAACCCACAAAUGAUGGGCUUUCCAAAUGACUCAAAUUUAUUAUAAAAUUGUUGGACAUAACAAAAGAUUGUUCAACAUGAAACGAUCUAAUCUGAUUAAACCAAACUUUUUCUUAAGAUAUACCACAACAUAGGCACAUACACAUUCAUUUGGGAGAGAAGAGGCCACAGCACCCCAAUCUUUAUACAGGGUACUGUGAUGACUUAUGUGGGUGUGGCUUGAAGUUCUGGAUGCUCUCUCGCUCAGAAGUCACCUCGACCAGUGCUGAGGAUGGGAUCUUGGAUGAGGGCCAGAGUUCCCGGUCCAAGACUACAUCUCCAAGCAGCAGGACAGUGGAAGCAAGUGUCAUGAAGCCAUGCAAGCUCAGGGCCCUUAUACUCAGUAAACCAUCCUGGAUAUGACCAGCAUGCAUACUGGCCCUACCACCCCCACCCAUCAGACUGUAGACUUUACAUUUACACAAAUCAGGCAAUCGUAAUAUGUUGAUCCUGAUACUAUCCAGUGGUACUCACUGGGACAUUGGCAGCUCUACUGGAUUGAUAUGAUAAAGUAUCAUGGGGCUCAGAGUCAUAAUUGAACAUAUACACCAUACUGUACAGAGGUCAUGGGUCAAAUUGAGUCAAAAAAAUUAUUUUUUCACUACUUUCAUGUUGUUUUUGCCCUCACAGUGGGUUGGUUGGUUUGCUUGUUUCUGACAUUCACAUUUUAAAACAAUGAAAUUUUACAUGACAAUGCAAUUUCUGGUUUCGUGUGUGUGCAUGUUUUUUAAACAGAGGAUAUAGGUUUCCUAGGCCUUCAUUAUCACACACCAAACAGGAGCAGACAUUUGCUUUCCAUUUGGCUCCUGUUUCUACCUGGCACAGUGUUCUGUCCCUGCAGGCGUGUCACUCUGCCACCUUGAUUUGGAAGCCUAGAUUCUCCUACAGUCUCAGGUCCAGACUGGUGAUAUCCAAGAUUCCAUUUAAGGAAGGACCUUCCCAGUGACCUUCUCUACCCUUUCCAGAUGGUAGAUCUGUGUCUGUGGCAGGACUUGACAUACCAUGGAGAGACUGUGAAGAGAUCCCACAACUUCCUUAAUAUGAGGGCACAAGUGUUAGAAUGCCCCAUGAGUAAAGGGGAAAUGUCUUAGUCCAUUUGUGUUUUAAACAAAAUACUUUAGACUUGGUAAUUUAUAAACAACAGACAUGUAUUGCUUACAGUUCUGGAGGCUGUGAAGUCCAAGAUCAAAACACCAGCAUAUUCAGUGCUUGGGAAGGCCCUAUUCCUCAUUGGUGGCACCUUCUAUGUGUCCUUAUAUGAUGGAAGGGCACAGCAGCUCUCUGGGGCUCUUCAAUAAGGGCACUAAUCUCAUUCAUGAGUACAGAGCCCUCAUGACCUAAUUACCUCCCAAAGGCCCUGCCUUCUAAUAUUAUUAGCUUGGUGAUUAGAUUUUACUGUAUGAAUUUUAGGGGGACACAACAUUCAGACAAUGGCAGGAGGGGAAACCUCAGCUUUUCUUUUUCUUUUUCGAGACAGAGUCUUGCUCUGUCACCCAGGAUGGAAUGCAAUGGUACGA